AAAAAGGCUUUGAAAAGGAAUAGUAGUUGUUAAGUGGUUAACAGAGAGCUGUCGGCAGGUGUAAGACAGCAGAAGCGAUGCAAUGAACUCACCUUGGAGCUGCCGGCUGAAUGGUUUGGAUAGUAAGACGGACGAAGUAAUCUUAUUAUUUCAAGAGUAGGCUUGGACGGAUUCCACCGUUAAAGGGAGCGGAUGUCAAAGGCAUCCUUAGAGAGCAUGUAUAACAUGAAGCAGAGUGGUACCGCGUAGGUAGAGAAUACGUCCCUGCA
rnacentral:ncRNA from 1 species